UCAUGAACGAAAAUCAAACCUUUCAAACUGAAAAAAGGAAUAUGAAUUAUUUAAAUUAUACCUCUGUCUCAUUGUGAUGGCAUCAAAUGGCAUUGUAUUUUUUCUUUUAUAAAAAUCCACUAUUUUUUUUAAUGUUCCUAUUAUUUUAGGACAUUUUGGGCAUAUCAGCUCAGAUAGCUCAAACAAAAUUCGAGCAAAUACGAUUCAUUCUUGGUUCAGUAUCUGCAUUUGGAGUAACUGCAGCCGGUCUCAAAACAGAUGGAGCUCUAACUGAGGCUGCAAAAACAGAUGGUGCUCUAACUGAAACCGCGAAAAUAGAUGGUGCUCCAACUGCUCCAAAAAAAACCUAGUAAGCGUUUGAGCUAUAGUCACUCAGGAUAUUUGGCGAGGUGAAUAAUCGUCCCUUUUCUCUUCCCAUUGGAGAAAGGGAAAUUGGUUUUCUAUGGCUAUACGUAUUGGACGAUUAUAGCCAUAUAUCUAGUUGGCGAGCACAUGACAUCGUAUAGUUUAUACAUAUAACCAUAUAAUAUAUAUAUAUAUAUAUAUUUUUUUUUUAUGUAACUGAGAGUAAUUCUUCAAUAUUUCUGAUAGCUAGCAAUUUUUUUUUU